CCCUUAGAUGUUCUGGGCCGCACGCGCGCUACACUGAUGCAUUCAACGAGUCUAAAACCUGGUCUGAUAGGGCUGGGUAAUCUUUUGAAUGUGCAUCGUGAUUGGGAUAGAUGAUUGCAAUUCUUCAUCUUCAACGAGGAAUGCCUAGUAAACGCAAGUCAUCAGCUUGCAUUGAUUACGUCCCUGCCCUUUGUACACACCGCCCGUCGCUCCUACCGAUUGAAUGUUCCGAUGAAUAACAUGGACUGAGAGUAUGAAUGGGUUCGCCUAUUUCUGCUUCUCGGGAAGUGGAGUAAAUCUUAACAUUUAGAGGAAGGAGAAGUCGUAACA
rnacentral:rRNA from 1 species